rnacentral:rRNA from 1 species
CGAGGAGGAAGGUGGUGAGCUUAAUACGCUCAUCAAUUGACGUUACUCGCAGAAGAAGCACCGGCUAACUCCGUGCCAGCAGCCGCGGUAAUACGGAGGGUGCAAGCGUUAAUCGGAAUUACUGGGCGUAAAGCGCACGCAGGCGGUUUGUUAAGUCAGAUGUGAAAUCCCCGGGCUCAACCUGGGAACUGCAUUUGAAACUGGCAAGCUAGAGUCUCGUAGAGGGGGGUAGAAUUCCAGGUGUAGCGGUGAAAUGCGUAGAGAUCUGGAGGAAUACCGGUGGCGAAGGCGGCCCCCUGGACGAAGACUGACGCUCAGGUGCGAAAGCGUGGGGAGCAAACAGGAUUAAAUACCCUGGUAGUCCACGCUGUAAACGAUGUCGAUUUGGAGGUUGUGCCCUUGAGGCGUGGCUUCCGGAGCUAACGCGUUAAAUCGACCGCCUGGGGAGUACGGCCGCAAGGUUAAAACUCAAAUGAAUUGACGGGGGCCCGCACAAGCGGUGGAGCAUGUGGUUUAAUUCGAUGCAACGCGAAGAACCUUACCUACUCUUGACAUCCAGAGAACUUUCCAGAGAUGGAUUGGUGCCUUCGGGAACUCUGAGACAGGUGCUGCAUGGCUGUCGUCAGCUCGUGUUGUGAAAUGUUGGGUUAAGUCCCGCAACGAGCGC